UACGAAGGGGCUAGCGUUGUUCGGAAUCACUGGGCGUAAAGCGCACGUAGGCGGACCUUCAAGUCAGGGGUGAAAUCCCGGGCUCAACCUCGGAACUGCCUUGAUACUGUUGGUCUUGAGUCCGGAAGGGUGGGUGGAAUUCCUAGUGUAGAGGUGAAAUUCGUAGAUAUUCGCAAGAACACCAGUGGCGAAGGCGGCUCACUGGCCCAUACUGACGCUGAGCAC
rnacentral:rRNA from 1 species